rnacentral:rRNA from 1 species
UACGGGGGGGGCAAGCGUUGUUCGGAAUUACUGGGCGUAAAGGGCUUGUAGGCGGCCAACUAAGUCAGACGUGAAAUCCCUCGGCUUAACCGGGGAACUGCGUCUGAUACUGGAUGGCUUGAGUUUGGGAGAGGGAUGCGGAAUUCCAGGUGUAGCGGUGAAAUGCGUAGAUAUCUGGAGGAACACCGGUGGCGAAGGCGGCAUCCUGGACCAACACUGACACUGAAAAGCGAAAGCCAGGGGAGCAAACGGG